GACGAACGCUGGCGGCGUGCUUAACACAUGCAAGUCGAACGGAAAGGCCCCUUUGGGGGUACUCGAGUGGCGAACGGGUGAGUAACACGUGAGUAACCUGCCCUUGACUUCGGGAUAACUUCAGGAAACUGGGGCUAAUACCGGAUAGGAAUCCUUGCUGCAUGGUGGGGGUUGGAAAGCUUCGGCGGUUUUGGAUGGACUCGCGGCUUAUCAGCUUGUUGGUGGGGUAGUGGCUUACCAAGGCUUUGACGGGUAGCCGGCCUGAGAGGGCGACCGGCCACAUUGGGACUGAGAUACGGCCCAGACUCCUACGGGAGGCAGCAGGGGGGAAUAUUGCACAAUGGGCGGAAGCCGGAUGCAGCAACGCCGCGGGCGGGAGGACGGCCUUCGGGUUGUAAACCGCUUUCAGCAGGGGCGAAGCUUGUGGUGACGGUACCUGCAGAAGAAGCACCGGCUAACUACGUG
rnacentral:rRNA from 1 species